rnacentral:rRNA from 1 species
AAAAAAAGUAGCGAAGUGUGUGAGCCAUGUGCCGAGAAAAGCCGCUAUUGUUUUAUAUGUGCCCGUACCGUAAACCGACACAGGUGGAUGAGGAGAGAAUCCUAAGGCCGACGGAAGAAGCAUUGUUAAGGAACUCGGCAAAAUGACCCCGUAACUUCGGGAGAAGGGGUGCCCACUUCAGGGUGGGCCGCAGAGAAUAGGCUCAAGCAACUGUUUAGCAAAAACACAGGUCUAUGCGAAACCGUAAGGUGAAGUAUAUGGGCUGACGCCUGCCCGGUGCUGGAAGGUUAAGAGGAGAGGUUAGUCGCAAGAUGAAGCUUUGAAUUUAAGCCCCAGUAAACGGCGGCCGUAACUAUAACGGUCCUAAGGUAGCGAAAUUCCUUGUCGGGUAAGUUCCGACCCGCACGAAAGGCGUAAUGAUUUGAGCACUGUCUCGACAAUGCAUCCGGUGAAAUUGAAGUACCAGUGAAGAUGCUGGUUACCCGCGCCAGGACGGAAAGACCCCAUGGAGCUUUACUCCAGUUUGGUACUGGGAUUCGGUACUGCAUGUACAGGAUAGGUGGGAGACUGAGAAAUUGGAACGCCAGUUUCAAUGGAGUCACUGUUGGGAUACCACCCCUGCAGUAUUGGGUUUCUAACCAGCCGCUGUGAUCCAGCGGUGGGACAAUGCCAGGCGGGGAGUUUGACUGGGGCGGUCGCCUCCGAAAGGGUAUCGGAGGCGCUCAAAGGUUCCCUCAGAAUGGUCGGAAACCAUUUUAAGAGUGCAAAGGCAGAAGGGAGCUUGACUGCGACACCGACGGGUGGAGCAGGUACGAAAGUAGGACUUAGUGAUCCGGUGGCAUAAAGUGGGAUUGCCAUCGCUCAACGGAUAAAAGCUACCCUGGGAUAACAGGCUUAUCACUCCCAAGAGUUCACAUCGACGGAGUGGUUUGGCACCUCGAUGUCGGCUCAUCGCAUCCUGGGGCUGUAGCAGGUCCCAAGGGUUGGGCUGUUCGCCCAUUAAAGCGGUACGCGAGCUGGGUUCAGAACGUCGUGAGACAGUUCGGUCCCUAUCCGGCGCGGGCGGAGGAUAUUUGAGAGGAGCUGUCCUUAGUACGAGAGGACCGGGAUGGACGGACCACUGGUGUAUCUGCUGUCGACCAACGGCAUGGCAGAGUAGCCAAGUCCGGAAGGGAUAAACGCUGAAGGCAUCUAAGCGUGAAGCCCCCCUCAAGAUGAGAUAUCCCUCACAUAAGUGAGUAAGAUCCCUUGAAGAGUACAAGGUAGAUAGGGCAGAGGUGGAAGCACGGUAACGUGUGGAGCUGACUGUUACUAAUCGAUCGAGGGCUUGACCG